UCCUCCCACAUAACUUUCGCAGCUCAUAACCUACCACAACUUCUUGAUUUAAGGUCGUAUGGCCUGGAUCGGCGGUUUACUGGGCCAAAUCUGCAAAUUUCAGGGCAUCAAGUACACAUACGGCUCCGACCGGGUAGAAUCCGGACACACCCUGAAAGCCGACGUCGUUGCUGUGAAGCCCACCCACGUGUUCAACGCCGCUGGUCGACCGAACUGUCACACAAGGGUCUGUGUUCAAACAUCCAAAUCCUCUACAAAUUAAAGAAGUGGUGGACUAGGAAUAAUGCCAACAAAACUCGAGAUAAGAGCAAAACGGUGAAGAUGGGAGUGAGGAUUGUUACUCAGUCGACUGGUUAUACGCAUCCUUGGUGGCAUAGGAUUAAAGAUGGUGUUGUGUUGUCUUUUGGUUAAUCUAAUGGUGUUGGUGGUGAUACGGAUUCGUCUACAGCUCCACAGUCUGCUAAUUAAACACUACAAUGUGACGCCACUCUGAACCAUAAUUUGGCGGAGAAGAUAGGUUUUAUAAUCCGGCAAAAACGAGAAGAAGCUGUCAAAAUCAAGAUGAACUCCGUGAGCACAAAGUGAUGCCACUCCGAACCAUAAUUUGGAGCUAUGAUGCAAGUGACAUUGAAACUCCUAGAAAUGGUUUGUAUGCGAUUGGUUUAUCAUGGCGAGUCACCAAGAGAGAUCCUGAGAAGCAUCUCUCUGCAGAAGGAAAGGUA